rnacentral:lncRNA from 1 species
CAGAGCCCGCCAGCUGCUAAGCCAGGGCCACACCUGGGGGUGAUUUCAUGCCUCACCUCCAGUAGGCUCAUGGCCUCUCUGGGCUAACCUCUGGCUCCUCUGCACUAACUCUAGCUCAUACCCAGCUAACCCCUGCCUCUCCCUGGCUGCCCUAGCGGCUGACCACUUGCCAGCCCUGCCCAUCCUGGGGGGUGGGGAGCUCCAGGCUCCUGGCCUGGCUUUGGCCGACUCCCUUGAACCACCCCUUCCUCUGGACUAAUUCAUGCCUUUCUGGUCUGUUCCUUUCGGCAGAAAUGAAUGGCUGUGGACUUCUCUCUGACUAACAGGUCUCACACAUCUCACUGUUACCACUAACGGCUUGGAUGGUGGCAUGGCUGGA